rnacentral:rRNA from 1 species
GACGAACGCUGGCGGCGUGCCUAAUACAUGCAAGUAGAACGCUGAAGGAGGAGCUUGCUUCUCUGGAUGAGUUGCGAACGGGUGAGUAACGCGUAGGUAACCUGCCUGGUAGCGGGGGAUAACUAUUGGAAACGAUAGCUAAUACCGCAUAAUAGUAGAUGUUGCAUGACAUUUGCUUAAAAGGUGCAAUUGCAUCACUACCAGAUGGACCUGCGUUGUAUUAGCUAGUUGGUGAGGUAACGGCCCACCAAGGCGACGAUACAUAGCCGACCUGAGAGGGUGAUCGGCCACACUGGGACUGAGACACGGCCCAGACUCCUACGGGAGGCAGCAGUAGGGAAUCUUCGGCAAUAGACGGAAGUCUGACCGAGCAACGCCGCGUGAGUGAAGAAGGUUUUCGGAUCGUAAAGCUCUGUUGUAAGAGAAGAACGAGUGUGAGAGUGGAAAGUUCACACUGUGACGGUAUCUUACCAGAAAGGGACGGCUAACUACGUG